rnacentral:rRNA from 1 species
CGGGUGAUUCACGCGUGGGCGACCUACCUUCGAGUGGGGGAUAACCUUCCGAAAGGAGGGCUAUUACCCCAUGACAUCCCGUGUUUGGAUACACGGACAUCAAAGCCGGGGAUCGCAAGACCUGGCGCUUGAAGAGGGGCCCGCGUCCGAUUAGCUAGUUGGUGAGGUCACGGCUCACCAAGGCUCCGAUCGGUAUCCGGCCUGAGAGGGCGGACGGACACACUGGGACUGAGACACGGCCCAGACUCCUACGGGAGGCAGCAGUGGG